UGCAACGCAGUGAAGGGGACGUUUCCGACCCUAUAGAGGAUAUAUUCUUGAUCAGCAUCUCGAGAAGAGUUGAUCUAGCUAUGUCCGUAUUACAUGAGUCGGAACGAGUCGGAUCGGACGACAUAGCUCCAUAUGAAAAACCGGGGGAAAAAUUAUAACUCUUAUUUUGUUGUAUAGUUCUUAAGGAUAUAGUUAUAUGACAUAAUUAUUUUAGAACAACGGUUUAAAUUUUAUUAAACUCGUACGACUAUAUCAUUUAGCUCUCAUGGGAAAAAUCGGAAUACAAAAAAAAAAAUAAAUGAACAAAAAUUUAA